GCGUAGCAUUUCGGGCAGCAGCCAGUGGGGAAGAAAGAAGAGGGAGGCGUCGUGUGGACCUGCACUGCGAGGCAAGACUGACGAAGAAGAGGAGCAGAGGAGCAAAGAGAAAGGCACUCUGGGCAAAAGGCCGUCCCGGUCGAGAGGUCUGCAGACACGUAAGAAGAGCAUGGCCGGCACCUUUGGUGUCCUGGCCGGCUUUGCGCUGGGCGACCUCCCUGUAAGCAGGGCUCAGGUCUUUUGCUUUAGUCGGCCUUUUGCCACGCUGCUCCUUUGGCUGCCUGGAGAGAGUGUCAACCCUGUAAGGAGGGUGAGCGCCACUGUCUCCGCACCCGAGGGGGAACUGGAGCUCUCUGGACCCCAAGGCCACCCUGUAAGCAGGGGAGGGCCGUUUUGCCCACCCGACUCCUGCGGCCCUGGCGGCUUUCUGCCUGCGGCCAGCGUGACGCCCCAGUAGGCGGGGUGUGUGUCACGGCAUGCAGCCCCGAUGGGGUGGGUCUGAGGCUCUCCUGGCCUGCUCGUGGGUAGGGGUUGCCCCCCGGCCCGCUCUGGAUGGUGUCUGCACGCAGUUCCCUGUCUCUUGUGGAAAGCCAAGUUUGCCCCUGGCCCUGGCCCUCUCCCUCUUCUCCCUCUCCCUGUCCUUGUCGGGGUGUGUGAGUGAGCCCGUCCUCUAGGCCCCUGUUAAAAAUAAAAAUAAAAAAGCUGCAGCUUGCUUAGCUUUGGCUUCCCAGAAGGGAACGCAGGGCUCUGUGCAGAUGCAGGGGGGUCCCCUUUCAGGCCCCGAGCCGAGGGUUGAGUCUGGACUCGCCCCUUAUUUCCUAGGACAGGGCCAAGCCACUUCCUUGGUAGCAGACCAGCCUGUAGCCAGGGCCUGGGUCUGCGCCUGUCCUUCUGGCGCCCUGCCAGCGUGACGCCCCGUAGUCGGGGUGUGUGUCACGAGCCCUGGAGCCCUCUGUCCCCAGGAGCAGCCCGAGCUCCCCCUGUAAGCAGGGCGGAGGUGGCGGCAGUGCCGCAGCCGGCUGCUUUAGCCAGCCAGCAGGAACAACCCCAGCAUCGCCCCAUCGGAGGGGGCCGGCUGAGGAAGUGUUGUGCCGGAAGGCGGGCAUAGUCCCAUCGCCUUUGGCGUUGCUUUUGGUUGGGGUGACGUGCGCGCAGUUGGCGCGGAGGUGUCUCCCUGGGCUCCUGAAGACGUGGUGUUGUGCUGCAGCCAGGAGGGCCAGCCCGUCCGUCGGGCCUAGGCCGGAGCCUCGUGCUCCAUGGGGCUUUCUUGGAAGGCGGUGAGGCGUGGGGGGACCGCCCUGUAGGCAGGGCUGUGCGUGUCCCCUGCCCUGGACAGGAGGCGCCUGUAGGGCCCCCGCUGUAAUCAGGGGGGCGGGCACCUGUGGCCCCGGCCUUUCAGAGGCGCGGGGCCGAGUUGUGUGGAGGGGCCGGGCGUGCCCUCCCCGUACUCGGGGCUGGGGUCCCGGCCCCCGGCCUUUGGCCGUGCCGCUCCACCGCCUGGCUGCUGAGAAGUCGUUCCUGCUGGUGUGGGGGAAGGCCGAGCUCUGGGGCUCCCUGGGUGUCGACCUGCCUGUAAUCAGGGGUGCGGGUCUGGGAGCCUUUGUGCUCCGCUGGCAGCCGGUGUGGGGUGACCGUCCCGUUAGCGGGUUCGCGGUCAGGGUGCCCCGGAAUCGGAGAGAAGGAGCCUCCGUUUGCCUUUGGGACCAGGGCUGCCCCGUAACUCGGGGGCCAGCCAGUGCCCUGGCGUCCCGGGCACUUUGCGGUCCAGGCAGCGGCUCGAGCCCCCUGUAAGCAGGGGUGCAGCCUGUCUGGCCGCUGCUUUGCCUGCCCAGCUCCGUUUGCCCAGGGUGCCCGCCUCCGAGCCCAGCUCCAGCACCGGCUGGAGCUCUGCUGCGCGUCCCUCAGCAGCAGCCGGUGGGGAAGAAAGAAGAGGGAGGCGUCGUGUGGACCUGCACUGCGAGGCAAGAGCGACGAAGAAGAGGAGAAGAGGGAGGCGUCGUGUGGACCUGCACUGCGAGGCAAGAGCUGACGAAGAAGAGGAGCAGAGGAGCAAAGAGAAAGGCACUCUGGGCAAAAGGCCGUCCCGGUCGAGAGGUCUGCAGACACGUAAGAAGAGCAUGGCCGGCACCUUUGGUGUCCUGGCCGGCUUUGCGCUGGGCGACCUCCCUGUAAGCAGGGCUCAGGUCUUUUGCUUUAGUCGGCCUUUUGCCACGCUGCUCCUUUGGCUGCCUGGAGAGAGUGUCAACCCUGUAAGGAGGGUGAGCGCCACUGUCUCCGCACCCGAGGGGGAACUGGAGCUCUCUGGACCCCAAGGCCACCCUGUAAGCAGGGGAGGGCCGUUUUGCCCACCCGACUCCUGCGGCCCUGGCGGCUUUCUGCCUGCGGCCAGCGUGACGCCCCGUAGUCGGGGUGUGUGUCACGAGCCCUGGAGCCCUCUGUCCCCAGGAGCAGCCCGAGCUCCCCCUGUAAGCAGGGCGGAGGUGGCGGCAGUGCCGCAGCCGGCUGCUUUAGCCAGCCAGCAGGAACAACCCCAGCAUCGCCCCAUCGGAGGGGGCCGGCUGAGGAAGUGUUGUGCCGGAAGGCGGGCAUAGUCCCAUCGCCUUUGGCGUUGCUUUUGGUUGGGGUGACGUGCGCGCAGUUGGCGCGGAGGUGUCUCCCUGGGCUCCUGAAGACGUGGUGUUGUGCUGCAGCCAGGAGGGCCAGCCCGUCCGUCGGGCCUAGGCCGGAGCCUCGUGCUCCAUGGGGCUUUCUUGGAAGGCGGUGAGGCGUGGGGGGACCGCCCUGUAGGCAGGGCUGUGCGUGUCCCCUGCCCUGGACAGGAGGCGCCUGUAGGGCCCCCGCUGUAAUCAGGGGGGCGGGCACCUGUGGCCCCGGCCUUUCAGAGGCGCGGGGCCGAGUUGUGUGGAGGGGCCGGGCGUGCCCUCCCCGUACUCGGGGCUGGGGUCCCGGCCCCCGGCCUUUGGCCGUGCCGCUCCACCGCCUGGCUGCUGAGAAGUCGUUCCUGCUGGUGUGGGGGAAGGCCGAGCUCUGGGGCUCCCUGGGUGUCGACCUGCCUGUAAUCAGGGGUGCGGGUCUGGGAGCCUUUGUGCUCCGCUGGCAGCCGGUGUGGGGUGACCGUCCCGUUAGCGGGUUCGCGGUCAGGGUGCCCCGGAAUCGGAGAGAAGGAGCCUCCGUUUGCCUUUGGGACCAGGGCUGCCCCGUAACUCGGGGGCCAGCCAGUGCCCUGGCGUCCCGGGCACUUUGCGGUCCAGGCAGCGGCUCGAGCCCCCUGUAAGCAGGGGUGCAGCCUGUCUGGCCGCUGCUUUGCCUGCCCAGCUCCGUUUGCCCAGGGUGCCCGCCUCCGAGCCCAGCUCCAGCACCGGCUGGAGCUCUGCUGCGCGUCCCUCAGCAGCAGCCGGUGGGGAAGAAAGAAGAGGGAGGCGUCGUGUGGACCUGCACUGCGAGGCAAGAGCGAC